AGCGAACGCUGGCGGCAGGCCUAACACAUGCAAGUCGAACGGAUCCUUCGGGAUUAUUGGCGGACGGGUGAGUAACACGUGGGAACGUGCCCUUUGGUUCGGCACAACUCAGGGAAACUUGAGCUAAUACCGGAUGUGCCCUUCGGGGGAAAGAUUUAUCGCCAUUGGAGCGGCCCGCGUCUGAUUAGCUAGUUGGUGAGGUAACGGCACACCAAGGCGACGAUCAGUAGCUGGUCUGAGAGGAUGAUCAGCCACACUGGGACGGAGACACGGCCCAGACUCCUACGGGAGGCAGCAGUGGGGAAUCUUGCGCAAUGGGCGAAAGCAUGACGCAGCCAUGACGCGUGAAUGAUGAAGGUCUUAGGAUUGUAAAAUUCUUUUAGCGGGGAAGAUAAUGACGGUACCCGCAGAAGAAGCUCCGGCUAACUUCGUG
rnacentral:rRNA from 1 species